rnacentral:tRNA from 2 species
GCACCCGUAGCUCAGCUGGAUAGAGUACAUGACUACGAAUCAUGGGGUCGCAAGUUCGAAUCUUGCCGGGUGCA